rnacentral:tRNA from 1 species
GGAUUGUGGCUCAGUGGUAGAGUGCUCACCUAGCAAGCACAAGGCACUGGGUUUGAGCCUCAGCACCA